UCCGAUUCGUCUCCCUGAGCAGCAGCAGAAACAACUGUGAUGACCUGACCACGACCCCAUUCAGGGGAAACUGAGGAAUGGACAAACCAAACACAGCCCACAGCCCCCCGCUUAUGUCACCUGGAGAGUCCGGGGGGGGGGGGGGGAAACUGAGGCAUAGACCUCCUUCACACACACAUAACCUCCCUCACCUCACCUGGGAGCCAGAAAAUGAGGCACGAACCCCCAUACACACGUAACUCCUCUCACAUCACCUGGUUGUUCCCAUACAGGAUGUCCCCAACACAGUGCCCAAGCCACUGGUGAAGUGCCUGAGCUGCUUCCAGUCAGAGCUGUUCAGGAAGUGACACUCGGCUUUUCCCAGAAACUGAAACACCCCUCUGUUGUCCAGGGGAACCCCCGCCUCCUCUAGGAGCCCCCACCAUCCCACAACAGGUUGGGAGCUCAGGGUGGGAAAGGCAAGGCAAGAAAUGGCAAGGAAGAAGUGGACAGUCAAGGCGAGGUUAGGGUAAUCAAGACAAUGUGUAUGAAGGGAUAGGCAGGGCAAGGCAAGGCAGGGGACUGGUUUGCAAGGCAAUUCAAGGCAAGGACAGAGAGCGGAAGGCAAGGCAAGUCAUGAGAGGGGCAAGUAAGGCAAAGUAACAUGCAGGCAGGUAAGGCAAGUCUGGGAAGGUGUAUACAAAGCAAGGAAGGUUUAGUCAAAGCAAAGGAAGGCACGGCAGGGGUAUGCAAGGCAAGACAGGUGGGAGAAAGGCGAGGCAAGCCAAGUUAUGGGUAGGACAAGCAAGGAGAGGUAGUGGUAGGCAACACAAAGAAGUCAGUUAGUGGGCAGGUGUUGGAGGUGGACAAAUGAAGGAAAAAUCGCCUCUCAAGAAGGACUACGCUAUGGAAGCAAAGAGGGACUUUUAUGAACUGUUGCAGAGUGUGUUUUGUGUUUAGUAUUGUGUUUUCUUUAUUGUAAUAUUCCCCUCAUUGUUAUACCCUACUUUUCCAGCACUUUCCCUCAUCCCUCAUGGCCCUAAACCACGUCCUCUUAUUGGUUAAUUUUUGGUGCAGUGCCAUGUAUAUUUAUGUUUCUCCUUAUAUGGUGCUUGUUUGAAUGCUCCGCCUUAACUCCACCCUCUGUUACAGCACCUUCCCUGCCCUGCAUUAGAAAAGGCGGGAGCCAUGUUGUGUUGAUGCAUUCUAGUAAAACCUUUUCACCUGGAUGCCAGAAGUGCGUCUGCCUGCUUGCUUCGGAGCUAACUGCGACAAGCGGCACCCUGCGUGUGGCACGACCCACAAGACUUCUAACAUCUAAAGAAUAACAAGGACCACCGCAGCCGUGGGAACAACAGCAGUGCAGCCAGAACAUUCCUGAGAUCGCACCCAGCCUUAUCUUUUCGUUUACUCGCAACUCAAGACUCUCCAUUUCACUUCCCAAACUUCUUGUUUUCUUGCUUCAAGGAAAUUUGCAUUUACAAACUGCAGCUUUAAAAUUAGUGUUCUCUGAGAUAGAGUGACUGUAAUCGUCUAACGGCAAGAAUUCGGUCGAGAUCCCCGUGUGCCAGUGCACCAGCACUGGGAGCAACACUACAUCUUUCUUCAAGCUGACAACAGGAUACAACUAAACUCUCCCUGUCAUAGACCACUGCAAAACCAGAACAGAUCCAAAACCCGUUUUCAUUUUUUUCUUUUCCCUUACAGCAAAUCCUAACAUAGUUUUCUAUUUAAUGUCAUGUGUUUAAAAAAGUAAUUAAAUUGUUAUUUCUUCUUAUUUAAUAAUUUAACAUCUGAAUAAUUUGAGGCUUUAUUUGAAAUGAAAAUUUGCAUUUUUGUUGACAUAUUUGUUGAGUUUAUUUCUAAAGGUAGAGACUAACUUCCAAGGAUGAACAAGUUGGUAGGAGACCUACUGUUGCACUAACAUGCACUGGUAAAGAGAAUGAGUUCUGAUGGGGAGAGCUACUGUUGUCUGUAGAUAGUGAAAUCUGAAAAGAUGCUGUCAGCCACGUAAUAUGAUUCUGCUCCCUAAAAUUGUAGUCCCUUUGCUCUGCUGAACCAUACCCUUCCGUCUUUGCCUGGUAGGCUGAUGGCAAUGCAGGAGCGAAAAAUCUCUUACACACUAGUAUGUAAAGCAGAGGUUUUGAGGAAGACACGUGUACAAGUUGUAGAAGGCGUGCGGAAGUUGUAGAAGGUAUGUGAAAGUUGUAGAAAAUCCAUUAAAGUUAAGUGUGAUAUAGAAGGAUCAAAGAGUGGUUUACUAAUAAUAGUGGAUAUUGAAUGUUAAGUAGAAAAGUGAAGCGAUCCCAACAUUAUUGAAAGCAAGUUCCCCUUUACCUCUUGGGGAAAAGUGAUAGAAAAGGAUAUGUGAAAAGAAAGUUUUGUGUAAGUCGACAGAUGGUAAGAGAGGGGAGACAAUUGGCAAGAAGUUGUUCUACAAAGAAAAAGAGUAAGUUAUAGGAAGAAUGUGGAAGUGGUAAGAAGAAAAGCAUCUCCAUGGCAGUAGAGAGUGGAGAGUGCUGAGGCCAGAAGGAAAAUGGCACCUCGAACCCUGGAAAUAGUUGCAACUGAUUGCUGAUUGCUGUUGCACUGAGUUUCAGACUGUGUUAGUAAAUUAUGGUGGUAACUUGCUUAUAUUUUUGAGUUCAUACCUUUUAUUUCAUGUAAUACCUGACCUCGCAAUUUAGUUUCAGCGUGUGCAACCCUUCGUCCCCCUGCAAUCCAUCUACUAAUAAAAACAAGAAAGGGGGAACAGAGGGAGACAGAGCCAAAUGAUGGCCUUGCGAAUUGUUUGGUAACAAAAAUCGUUUUUUAUGUGAAAUUUUGUAUUUUUUAAUAGCUGUCUUAUCCCUGAGUAAUAGAAAAGUUUAUAUGGCUUUGAGUUUUGAAUUGAAAAUUUAUGUUUUACAAGAAAUAUGUUUGCUAAAACAAAAGUUUAUUUUAUAAAGAGCGACAUGAUAAAAUAAACUUAAAAGUGUGUUCGCAUGAGUGAUGGUGGCCACCGUGAGAGUUCGUGUGAAUGUGCGUGUGUGUGUGUGUGUGUGAGCUUAAAAAAACGCAACAAGAGCUACCUCAAAUGCAUUAUCCUGACAAAGUAGGAGAAAUGUUUUAGUAACUGACCUUUGCUUAAUUUCGUAAAUUCUGUUUGUUCUUCUUCUUGAAUUAAUGACUAAUCUCUAUUUUCUUUACUUUGGUACCUCAAAUCACAGUUGAAAAGUUAUGCCGGCAAAUUUCCACAGGUUGUUAAAUUGUUUAUGGUUUAAAAGUUCAUUGUCGUUGGAAGUUUUGCUAUUCAAGGUUACAUAUCAAAGUUUGUUUGGUUGUUGCAAUUAAAUAAAAUAAGUAAAAAUCCAGUUAUGGAAAGGUCAAAAGCAAUCUAGUAACGUCAAAAUUAAAAAUAAUAAGAUUGUCAUUUUACAUAUA